rnacentral:lncRNA from 1 species
UCUUUAUGAUUUAGUAAGGCACUGUGCAUUAAUUAAUUGAAUUAUAUGCUUUAGUUCCUGCUAUGUUUUGCAAACAAGAUCCAAAAGGCAUGGAGUAGACAGUGGAAAACGAAAUCAGAACUUGACUCGUUUAAUUAAUGCAUAGUGCCUUACUAAAUCAUAAAGAUAACGGGAAUUAAGUUAUUAAACGCGCGCAUACAGUCGAGGAGAAAAAAAAUCACACACGCACAAUCAGUCUCAUGCAUGAAACAUACAUACAUACAUGCUGACACAAGCACGAUUAUUAGGAAAGAAAAACACAGACUAGACAUACACACCCCAGCACACACAGAGCAACAAACUACUUGUUCUUCUGCUUAAAGUCAAUAACACCUUACUACUCCCCCUCUAAUGCUACUACUCAAAGGUAACAUCUUCAUGCUUUGCUUUUAGGCCACUGAUCUUAAUGUCGUAGUUUUUUCUCGUUACUUUCCAACACCACUACAAUUCCACGCCAGUUGUUCUAAUUUGCUAGAAAUAAGUCCACGACAUUAGCUGCAUGAAUGCUGUCUAUAAUAAUUCUCUGCCUUUUGUCCAAUCACUACCUCUGCAUGGGUUUCUUCCUCCAUUUCCUGCAAAUGAGAGUUUAAAGAGGGAAAGGAGAAGAGUUAGUUGGUAACAUGUUAGAAACAAAGAAACAAAGAAAAUACAGCUAUCCAUACUUUUCCUUUUCCGCUGCUGCUAGCUUGUCCUUCCAUUUUUCUUUUAUCUUUUUUGCAAUUCAACGAAGGAAGCUAGAAUUUAGUUCUCUUAUGGAGGAUAGGGAAGUGGAAGAGCUAUAAAUAGAGGGAUCAGGGAAUUGCAAACAAAACAAAAGAUGGCAACAACGGAAAAGGAAAAGGAAAAGCUAAGGCAAAAAUGGACGAUUACUUGGUAUGGAUAAUUGCAUUCUCUUUCUUUCUUUGUCUCUAACCUGUUACCAAUUAACUCUUCUCCUUUUUCUCUUUAAACUAACUCUACUUUGCAGGCAGAGGAGACCAACAUGGACUCUNNNNNNNNNNNNNNNNNNNNNNNNNCAAUUCCCUUUCUCUCUGAUCCCUCUAUUUAUAGCUCUUCCACUUUCCUAUCCUCCUCCAUAAGAGAACUAAAUUCUAGCUUCCUUCGUUGAAUUGCAAAAAAGAUAAAAGAAAAAUGGAAGGACAAGCUCGUAGCAGCGGAAAAGAAAAAGAAAAAGUAUGGAUACCUGUAUUUUCUUUGUUUCUUUGUUUCUAACAUGUUACCAACUAACUCUUCUCCUUUCCCUCUUUAAACUCUCAUUUGCAGGAAACAGAGGAAGAAACCCAUGCAGAGGUCCUGGUUGGACAAAGGCAGAGAGUUACUUUAGACAUCAUUCAUGCAGCCAACGCUGUGGACUUAUUUCAGGCAAAUAUGAACAAUUGGCAUGGACCUGUAGUGAUGUUGGAAAGUAACGAGAAAAACUACGACAUCAAGAUCAGUGGCCUGAAAGCAAUGUAUGAAGAUGUUACCUUUGAGCAGUAGCAUUAGAGGGGGAGUAGUAAGGUGUUAGUGACUUUAAGCGGAAGAACAAGUAGUUUUCUGCUCUGUGUAUUGGGGUGUGUGUGUCUAGUCUGUGUUUUUCUUUCCUAAUAACCGUGCUUGUGUCAGUAUAUAUGUAUGUAUGUAUGUAUGUUUCAUACAUGAGACUGAUUGUGCGUGUGUGUUCUUUUUUUUUUCUCCUCGAUUAUAUGCACGCAUUUAAUAACUUAAUUCCUGUUAUCUUUANN